CCCGCUGAACUUAAGCAUAUCAAUAAGCGGAGGAAAAGAAACCAACAGGGAUUGCCUCAGUAACGGCGAGUGAAGCGGCACCAGCUCAAAUUUGAAAUCUGACCUCCGGGUCCGAGUUGUAAUUUGUAGAGGAUGUUUCGGGCACCGCUCCGGUUUAAAUUUCUUGGAACAGAAUGUCAAAGAGGGUGAGAAUCCCGUCUUGGACCGGCGGUAGGGCCUGUGUGAAACUCCUUCGACGAGUCGAGUUGUUUGGGAAUGCAGCUCAAAAUGGGUGGUAAAUUUCAUCUAAAGCUAAAUAUUGGCCAGAGACCGAUAGCGCACAAGUAGAGUGAUCGAAAGAUGAAAAGCACUUUGAAAAGAGAGUCAAACAGUACGUGAAAUUGUUGAAAGGGAAGCGCUGGCAACCAGACUUGAGUGGGACGGCUCCCCCUUCCUUCUGGUUGGGUCAUUCUGUCCUGUCCAGGCCAACAUCGGUUCGGGUGGCCGGUUAAAGGCCCCGGGAAUGUAUCUUCCCUUCG
rnacentral:rRNA from 1 species